CGGACGGGUGAGUAAUGUCUGGGAAACUGCCUGAUGGAGGGGGAUAACUACUGGAAACGGUAGCUAAUACCGCAUAACGUCGCAAGACCAAAGAGGGGAACCUUCGGGCCUCUUGCCAUCGGAUGUGCCCAGAUGGGAUUAGCUAGUAGGUGGGGUAACGGCUCACCUAGGCGACGAUCCCUAGCUGGUCUGAGAGGAUGACCAGCCACACUGGAACUGAGACACGGUCCAG
rnacentral:rRNA from 1 species